rnacentral:misc_RNA from 1 species
AAUGUAUAAUGCUUCUAGGUCAAUGGGAGAUGAUAAAUAUAUAAUGGGAGAUAAUUGUCCCUCUAACAAAUUGGUUAUAAGAGAUAAUUAUCGUGUAAAUAAUUUCAAAAUUCUAUCUAAAAAUAAUAAAAAAAUAGAUAAAUGGGAGAUAAUUAUCUCUCCAACCAACUGGGUGAUAAUUUGUCUCUUAACUAAAAAUUAUGAGUAACAUGACAUAUAUGUUACCUAUUUCAUGAUAUUUUAAUUAUUACAUAGUAUCAUAAUAAUGAAUUAAGCUUUCAAUAUAUAAAACUAUAACAAAAUAACAUCCGUAGAUAAUUUUUAUAUAUUAUACUAUUAAAUUUGUUUAUCUAAUUUAAUUAAAAUAGGUUGGUUUAUGGUGAUAAUUUUUCUCUGUUAAAAAAAAUCUUUUGAGAUUAUUUUUGGUAUUUUUAUUUACUUGUGAUGAGUCUUAUUCUUUGUUUUCUUCUCUUGGGGAUUUUUAAACUUCUAACUCUCGAGUCUGGUAAGUCUUGAGCUUGAGGCGCGCCUUUAAUAA